AUUGAACGCUGGCGGCAGGCCUAACACAUGCAAGUCGAACGAGUGGCGGACGGGUGAGUAAUGUCUGGGAAACUGCCUGAUGGAGGGGGAUAACUACUGGGAACGGUAGCUAAUACCGCAUACCAUCAGAUGUGCCCAGAUGGGAUUAGCUUGUUGGUGGGGUAACGGCUCACCAAGGCGACGAUCCCUAGCUGGUCUGAGAGGAUGACCAGCCAAUCUGGAACGGAGACACGGCCCAGACUCUUACGGGAGGAACCAGUGGGGAAUAUUCCAAAAUGGGGUCAAUCCUGAUGCAGCAAUGCCGCGUGUAUGAAGAAGGCCUUCGGGUUGUAAAGUACUUUCAGCGGGGAGGCGUUACCCGCAGAAGAAGCACCGGCUAACUACGUGCCAGCAGCCGCGGUAAUAC
rnacentral:rRNA from 1 species